AUUGAACGCUAGCGGCAGGCCUAACACAUGCAAGUCGAGCGGAUGAAGGGAGCUUGCUCCUGGAUUCAGCGGCGGACGGGUGAGUAAUGCCUAGGAAUAUGCCUGGUAGUGGGGGAUAACGUACGGAAACGGGCGCUAAUACCGCAUACGUCCUGAGGGAGAAAGUGGGGGAUAUUCGGACCACACGCUAUCAGAUGAGCCUAGGUCGGAUUAGCUAGUUGGUGGGGUAAAGGCCUACCAAGGCGACGAUCCGUAACUGGUCUGAGAGGAUGAUCAGUCACACUGGAACUGAGACACGGUCCAGACUCCUACAGGAGGCAGCAAUGGGAAUAUUGGACAAUGGGCGAAAGCCUGAUCCAGCCAUGCCGCGUGUGUGAAGAAGGUCUUCGGAUUGUAAAGCACUUUAAGUUGGGAGGAAGGGCAGUAAGUUAAUACCUUGCUUUUUUGACGUUACCAACAGAAUAAGCACCGGCUAACUUCGUG
rnacentral:rRNA from 1 species